rnacentral:rRNA from 1 species
GACGAACGCUGGCGGCGUGCUUAACACAUGCAAGUCGAGCGGUAAGGCCCUUUCGGGGGUACACGGGCGGCGAACGGGUGAGUAACACGUGGGUGACCUGCCCUCAGCUCUGGGAUAAGCCUGGGAAACCGGGUCUAAUACUGGAUAUGACUCCAUGACGCAUGUUGUGGGGUGGAAAGCCUUGUGCGGCUGAGGAUGGGCCCGCGGCCUAUCAGCUUGUUGGUGGGGUGANGGCCUACCAAGGCGACGACGGGUAGCCGGCCUGAGAGGGCGACCGGCCACACUGGGACUGAGACACGGCCCAGACUCCUACGGGAGGCAGCAGUGGGGAAUCUUGCGCAAUGGGCGAAAGCCUGACGCAGCGACGCCGCGUGAGGGAUGACGGCCUCGGUU